GCGUGUGUGAAGAAGGCCUGCGGGUUGUAAAGCACUUUCAGUAGGGACGAAAAGCGAGGGGCUAAUAUCCUCUUGUCUUGACUUAACCUAAAGAAGAAGCACCGGCUAACUCUGUGCCAGCAGCCGCGGUAAUACAGAGGGUGCGAGCGUUAAUCGGAAUUACUGGGCGUAAAGCGUGCGUAGGCGGCUAUUUAAGUCGGAUGUGAAAUCCCCGGGCUUAACCUGGGAAUUGCAUUCGAUACUGGAUAGCUAGAGUGCAGUAGAGGAUAGUGGAAUUCCGGGUGUAGCGGUGAAAUGCGU
rnacentral:rRNA from 1 species